ensembl:lncRNA
AGAAGGUGAAGUCUUCCAAUCUUCCAAGUUUGUUCUCGGUUUUUUGCUGUGGCCAGUUUUUUUUCUCCCCCCAGGGCCUCUUGCAGUUCCAUAUGAGAUCAGCUUUUCCAUUUUUCCUACAAGGCCACUGGAAGUUUUUUUUGGGGGGGUUGUGCCGUACAGCUUGUGGGAUCUUAGUUCCCCAACCAGGGAUUGAACCUGGACCCUUAGCAGUCAAAAUGCCAAGUCCUCACCCAUUGGACCGCCAGAAAUAUAUUGUUUAUGUCCAUUAUGUUGUUUAUGAAAUUUAUGAAAACAUCAGAUACCAUCUCCCAUUUGCUCCAUCUGACACCUGGAAAAGCUGGUGCCCGAACAGGUGAAGCAGUUUCUCACAGACAGCAGGUCUCUGGUCCGGGCUGACGGUCUUCCAAACCCUCUUCUACCUGGUGUACGUCUGGAGGAUCGACUGGAACCGUGCGGCAGAGCAGAUCUGUCCAACCUGGAGAAAGAAGCACUGGCUGGGGCCAUCCUGCUGGACCUCACCUGACCCAAGAGCCAGACUGCGCAGCUAAUCAGGGCAGCCCCUGCCAUGACGUCCUGAUGGGGACUCAGCUGACUGUGUUAGGGCCGAGCGGCUGCAGUUUUGGCUGUUGCUGUCCUCGCAGUGGGAAUUUUAAUAAGACUCUUCACUGACCAUGGCUGAAAUGGAAUCAUCCCAGCCCCAAACUACCAGUGAGAACAAUAUGCCACACGUGCCGCAUGGGAGGUGAGCUCUUCACCUGGACCGUGGCUUCGGUCCCAGCCGAGCAGGAAAGGGAUGCCAGCUUCAUGUUCUUAUUCUGAAGAUUCACAUGAUCAUCCUGGACAUCAAGAAAAGCAUUACAAUUUUAAGUGAACUUUUCUCCCAAAUGUUAACUCUUAUCGUGGUUUUUAAGUCUGCACGUUGGUGUCCCUGGCUGGCUGUGUUCUUUAUCCCACCUUACAUUUAACACCUUCUGUCUUCCAGGAGAGCAGGUCCUCUAGCAGUAACUGCUGGCCACGGUGUGUGUGUGGCACUCUUGUGUGUCCAGUCUCAUGUGUGAGUGUGCAUGAAGUCCUGUCUCGGGCAGUGCCAUGCAAGCUUUUAAAAAAUAAACAUUUAAAAAUACAUGCUCAGACUAAGUGGUAACUUGUAGCUUACUGCCUUUUAAGAAAUUUGUUAAACUUUUGUAUUAAUUAAAAGAUGACUCUUGUAUUCUGUCCUUGCUGCUCAGCUCCCAGGUGCUGGCAGGUAUGGCCCCAGCGCCUGCUGGAGGUUUUUAGAGCCUUUAAUAGGGAAUGUGACCAACCAAACAGAAAAUCCUAAAAACGAC